rnacentral:tRNA from 1 species
GCCUGGGUAGCUCAGUCGAUUAAGCAUCUGUCUUCAGCUCAGGUCACGAUCUCACUGUUUGUGGGUUCAAGCCCCUCAUCGGGCU